GUCAGAGGUAAGAAGCAUCUCAUAGGAGUCUGGUACAGGGCAGAAACAGGUCAUCUUGUUCUGUCUGAGACUAUCCACCUGAGAACUAUGUCCUCUUUUCUAACUCUCACUGUAAUCACUAGGGAAAGACUGAACAUUGGGGAUACCUGUCAAUGUAAUCACUAUGGACAGACGGGGCAGUAGACUAUUUCUCACUGUAAUCACUAUGGACAAACUAGACUGUAGGAUACCUCUCACUGUAAUCACUAUGGACAGACUGGACAGUAUGAUACCUCUCACUGUAAUCACUAUGGACAGACGGGACAGUAGGGAUACCUCUCACUGUAAUCACUAUGGACAGACUGGACAGUAGGGAUACCUCUCACUGUAAUCACUAUGGACAGACUGGACAGUAGGAUACCUCUCACUGUAACCACUAUGGACGACAGACAGUAGGAUACCUCUCACUGUAAUCACUAUGGACAGACUAUACUGUAGGAUAACCUCUCACUGUAAUCACUAUGGACAGACUAGACAGUAGAGAUACCUCUCACUGUAAUCACUAUGGACAGACUAGACAGUAGGAUACGUCUCACUGUAAUCACUAUGGACAGACUAGACAGUAGGGA
rnacentral:lncRNA from 1 species